rnacentral:rRNA from 1 species
CCUGAUUUCCAUAGGAGGUCUAGCCUGCCCAGUGACAAAGUUAAACGGCCGCGGUACCCUAACCGUGCAAAGGUAGCGCAAUCACUUGUUCUUUAAAUGAGGACUAGUAUGAAUGGCAUCACGAGGGUUAUGCUGUCUCCYUACUUUAUUCAGUGAAACUGAUCUCCCCGUGAAGAAGCGGGGAUAAAAAUAUAAGACGAGAAGACCCCAUGGAGCUUUAAACUCAGUAUCAACUGCCAUAAUUAAAACCUAAUACCCAAGCAGUAUAUGACUACUAGUUUUCGGUUGGGGUGACCMCGGAGUAAAACCUAACCUCCAUGAUGAAAGGAAAUAAUAACCUAAAUUAAGAGCUACAACUCUAAAUAUCAUAAAAUUGACUAAAUUGAUCCAAUCAACUUA